GAUCGAUAUUUUUUAAGAAGUAAAAAGGAAGUUUAUGUUAUUGUUUUAACACUAUGCCAGCUCUGUGCAGCAGCAGCCAAGAAAACGUGUGAACCUCAGGAAGAUGUUAUGUCCAUAUACAGUGACAAAUUUGACGAAGCCCCCCCUCAAGGCUUCGGACCAUAUUUCAUCAAAAUACACCGCUGUGCAGAAUAUUCACAAACUCACUAUCCGUCGAAACCAGUGAGAUGGCAAAAGAUAGGCAUCGUACUGAGAGACUCACUGAUGUUUAAAUAUUACGAAUACAUUUUACAUAAUCACACCAAGUGUAAAUGCUCCACCAAUUUAACAGUCUUUCAAUACAACAGAGAAAGGCGUGUAGCUGUGAAUGUGAUGUUAGGGUGCUCUCGGUUCAGAUAGUCAAGAAAGAGAGGGACGUGAUCGGAGGGA